rnacentral:lncRNA from 1 species
ACUGCACGGAGAGUUGUGAUUUGUGAAGCAAAGAUGAACACUUUUACACCAAGCACAUUCAUGCUGUGAUUAUGUUCCUAUUGAGAAGCAUUUAACAAUUUCACGCUGUUUAGGUUCAUGUUGUUUAGGUUCACGCUGUUUAGGUUCACACUGUUUAGGUUCACGCUGUUUAGGUUCACACUGUUUAGGUUCACGCUGUUUAGGUUCACACUGUUUAGGUUCACGCUGUUUAGGUUCACGUUGUGUAGGUUAGGUUGUUUGUUUCACUCUGUGUAGGUUCACACUGUUUAGGUUCACACUGUUUAGGUUCAUGUUGUUUAGGUUCAUGUUGUUUAGGUUCACACUGUUUAGGUUCACACUGUUUAGGUUCAUGUUGUUUAGGUUCACUCUGUUUAGGUUCACGCUGUUUAGGUUCACUCUGUUUAGGUUCACGCUGUUUAGGGUUCACACUGUUUAGGUUCACACUGUUUAGGUUCAUGGUUUGUUUUAGGUUCACUCUGUUUUCGGUUCACUCUGUUAGGUUCACGCUGUUUAGGUUCACACUGUUUAGGUUCACACUGUUUAGGUUCACACGUGUAGGUUCAUGUUGUUUAGGUUCACUCUGUUUAGGUUCACGCUGUUUAGGUUCAUGUUG